AUCUAUGGCGUUGGUUGUAGCUGGCUCCUAGGAGCAUCUCGGCACACACCGUCAUUCAGAUCAUCUUGGAAUUCUCAACCAUGUGUUGGCCUGGAUACCCCUCGCUUGGAACAAAUAGGAUGCAAGGAUUGCUGCGUCGACAAGGCCGGCUCUCUUUGAAUUUCCAGGUUCUAUGUCUUUUACUCUUUCCCAUGGUGAAUGAUGUAGAAUGUAGUCAAUGGGCUUUCAUGCCUAUAAAACACUAUACAACUUUCAGCAACGGAUCUCUUGGCUCUCGCAUCGAUGAAGAACGCAGCGAAAUGCGAUAAGUAAUGUGAAUUGCAGAAUUCAGUGAAUCAUCGAAUCUUUGAACGCACCUUGCGCUCCUUGGUAUUCCGAGGAGCAUGCCUGUUUGAGUGUCACUAAAUUCUCAACCUCACCAGUUUUGUAACGAGACAGGUGAAGGCUUGGAUGUGGGGGUUUUGCAGGCUGCCUCAGUGCUGGUCUGCUCCUCUGAAAUGCAUUAGCGAGCUCAUGUUGAGCCUCCAUCUAUUGGUGUGAUAAUUAUCUACGCCGUGGAUAGGACUCAUGCUUGCUUCUAACCGUCCGCAAGCACAAUUUACUUGACCAAUUUGACCUCAAAUCAGGUAGGACUACCCGCUGAACUUAAGCAUAUCAA
rnacentral:rRNA from 1 species